GCCGGGGGAUGCGCGCUCUGGAGGUGAGGACCGGGCAGGACGGCCUGGCCUCGAGGCGAGAUGGCCGCACGGUCUCUAGUGGGCCGCGACCCGCAGGGCUCGCAGAGUCGCAGGUGGUGACGCGCGGUCGGGGGCCCGGUCGCAGGGGACACACAGCUGGGGGCGCGAUGGCGCUGGACGGCCGAAGGUCUGGUUGAGAACUUGAACCCGCCUGAAGCGGAGGCCUGAGAAAAUGCAGGCCCGCUGAAGCCCGCCCGCCGGCCCUGGGCCCUGAAAGCCGCCCGCGGUUUCCCCUGACCCCGCGGCCGCUCUGCGCCUGUUCCGAUUUCUUGCUGGUUGAAUACCUCCCUCUCCACUCCCAACUUCAGGGCAGAGGUCUAGAGCUGCUCCUGGCUCUUGUACUCUACUUUGACCCAAUGAGAGCCUCAUUUCUCUUCCAAGGUGAGUGUGUAACCAACAUAAAAUAUGACUUCCCUUUAAUUCAACUAGAUAUUUAAUGAAUUCCGCACAUUCCAGAUGUGCUAAAAAGCUAGUCUUUAAGCUUUGCCUUAGUAAUUUGUGUAGAAGGGUAUAGGUAAAGGUAUAGGCGUGGUGGUAUGUGCCUGUGGUUCCAGCUACUCGGAGGCUGAGGUGGGAGGAUUGCUUGAGCCCGGGAGGUAGAAGUUGCAGUGAGCCGAGUUCAUGCCUUACAUGUUACUUGUGCUUUUCCCUUAGGAUUUCCCCUGAACUGUUCUGUUAACCUCAACUCCUGUCCUCCUGAUCUUUUGUAUAAAGAGCCACUGAUGGAACACUGUGUAUUUCCCUUACGUGCCAUACCUGUUCAUACCUCUCAGGAACAGAAGUGUAACCCUUGCUCCCACUCUCGACCUAGCAAUCUAAUCCUUCUUAAGAGAUGUUGGAAGAAAAAUUAUUGACAUUGCAAUUCAUAAAAACAUGACAUCCCAGAGCUUAACCUAAAGUUGGAAGAGAGUGUUUUAAAGAAACUUUAUUUUCUUUUUUUUGAAACAGAGUCUUGCCCUGUCACCCAGACUGGAGUGCAGU